CGAGUACAACAAGUUAAUGCAGGAGGAUGAUACUACAAGGUGAGGCAACAAGUUCAUACAACAAGUUAAUACGAGAGGUUGAUACUACAAGGUGAGGCAACAAGUUAAUACGAGAGGUUGAUACUACAAGGUGAGGCAACAAGUUAAUACAACAAGUUAAUACGAGAGGUUGAUACUACAAGGUGAGGCAACAAGUUCAUACAACAAGUUAAUACGAGAGGUUGAUACUACAAGGUGAGGCAACAAGUUAAUACGAGAGGUUGAUACUACAAGGUGAGGCAACAAGUUAAUACGAGAGGUUGAUACUACAAGGUGAGGCAACAAGUUAAUACAACAAUUUAAUACGAGAGGUUGAUACUACAAGGUGAGGCAACAAGUUCAUACAACAAGUUAAUACGAGAGGUUGAUACUACAAGGUGAGGCAACAAGUUAAUACGAGUGGUUGAUACUACAAGGUGAGGCAACAAGUUAAUACGAGAGGUUGAUACUACAAGGUGAGGCAACAAGUUAAUACGAGUGGUUGAUACAACCAUGGGCGCAGAUGGCACUAGGGGCGGGGGGAUAUGACCCCCUCAGAUUCAUAGUGACCCCCACUGUCCCUACAAA